ensembl:snRNA LOC120096437 U4 spliceosomal RNA
AGCUUUGCGCAGUGGCAGUAUCGUAGCCAAUGAGGUUUAUCCGAGGCGCGAUUAUUGCUAAUUGAAAUGUCUCAAGUUCUAAACGUGUAUCUUUGAAGCAGUCUUGAGCCC